rnacentral:rRNA from 1 species
UACAGAGGUCCCAAGCGUUGUUCGGAUUCACUGGGCGUAAAGGGUGCGUAGGCGGGCAGGUAAGUCCGUGGUGAAAUCUCUGAGCUUAACUCAGAAACUGCCAUGGAUACUAUUUGUCUUGAAUAUUGUGGAGGUGAGCGGAAUAUGUCAUGUAGCGGUGAAAUGUUUAGAUAUGACAUAGAACACCAAUUGCGAAGGCAGCUCACUACACAGUUAUUGACGCUGAGGCACGAAAGCGUGGGGAUCAAACAGG